rnacentral:rRNA from 1 species
GUAUGAGCCCUUCGGGGGAAAGAUUUAUCGCCAAAGGAUUAGCCCGCGUUAGAUUAGGUAGUUGGUGGGGUAAUGGCCUACCAAGCCUACGAUCUAUAGCUGGUUUUAGAGGAUGAUCAGCAACACUGGGACUGAGACACGGCCCAGACUCCUACGGGAGGCAGCAGUGGGGAAUCUUGGACAAUGGGCGCAAGCCUGAUCCAGCCAUGCCGCGUGAGUGAUGAAGGCCUUAGGGUCGUAAAGCUCUUUCGCCUGUGAAGAUAAUGACGGUAGCAGGUAAAGAAACCCCGGCUAACUCCGUGCCAGCAGCCGCGGUAAUACGGAGGGGGUUAGCGUUGUUCGGAAUUACUGGGCGUAAAGCGCACGUAGGCGGACUGGAAAGUAUGGGGUGAAAUCCCAGGGCUCAACCCUGGAACUGCCUCAUAAACUAUCAGUCUAGAGUUCGAGAGAGGUGAGUGGAAUUCCGAGUGUAGAGGUGAAAUUCGUAGAUAUUCGGAGGAACACCAGUGGCGAAGGCGGCUCACUGGCUCGAUACUGACGCUGAGGUGCGAAAGUGUGGGGAGCAAACAGGAUUAGAUACCCUGGUAGUCCACACCGUAAACGAUGAAUGC